rnacentral:rRNA from 1 species
GCAUAUCAAUAAGCGGAGGAAAAGAAACUAACAAGGAUUCCCCUAGUAACUGCGAGUGAAGCGGGAAGAGCUCAAAUUUUAAAUCUGGCGGUCCUCGUGGUCGUCCGAGUUGUAAUCUAGAGAAGCGUUUUCCGCGCUGGACCGUGUACAAGUCUCCUGGAACGGAGCGUCAUAGAGGGUGAGAAUCCCGUCUCUGACACGGACUACCAGGGCUUUUGUGAUGCGCUCUCGACGAGUCGAGUUGUUUGGGAAUGCAGCUCAAAUUGGGUGGUAAAUUCCAUCUAAAGCUAAAUAUAGGCGAGAGACCGAUAGCGAACAAGUACCGUGAGGGAAAGAUGAAAAGAACUUUGGAAAGAGAGUUAAACAGUACGUGAAAUUGCUGAAAGGGAAACGCUUGAAGUCAGUCGCGUUGGCCGGGGAUCAGCCUUGCAAUCUUGUUGGGUGCAUUUCCUGGUUGACGGGUCAGCAUCAAUUCUGACCGUCGGAGAAGGGUUGAGGGAAUGUGGCAUCCUUCGGGGUGUGUUAUAGCCUUUGAUCGUAUGCGACGGUUGGGAUUGAGGAACUCAGCAUGACCCCUCGUGGGUUUGGGGCUUCGGCUCACAUCCAUGCUUAGGAUGCUGGCAUAAUGGCUUUAAGCGACCCGUCUUGAAACACGGACC